UAGGGUUGCCACCUGUCCGGUUUUGAUCCGGGCAGCCCCUCAAAAUACCGGGCUGUCCGGGUCAAAACCGGACAGGUGGCAACCCUACCAGUAA
rnacentral:pre_miRNA from 1 species